CGAGUAAAUCGGAUAGUCGCGGGUCAAGAUUGACCUGAGGAAAGUCGGAGCUCCGCAGGGCAGGGUGCUGGGUAACACCCAGUGAGGGCAACCUCAAGGAUAGUGCCACAGAAACAAACCGCCGAGAGCGGAAACCUGUAUUGUGAACAGUUUUCCGCUUUCGGUAAGGGUGGAACGGUGAGGUAAGAGCUCACCAGCGGCCAGGCGACUGGUCGGCUAGGUAAACCCCACCUGGAGCAAGACCAAAUAGGGGAGCAUUGGAGUGGCCCGCUCCGCUCCCGGGUUGGGUCGCUAGAGGUGGCAGGCAACUGUCAUCCCAGAUAGAUGACUAUCUAAACAGAACUCCGCUUACAGAUUUACUCGCGUU
rnacentral:RNase_P_RNA from 1 species